UACGAAGGGGGCUAGCGUUGCUCGGAAUCACUGGGCGUAAAGCGCACGUAGGCGGAUCUUUAAGUCAGGGGUGAAAUCCCAAGGCUCAACCUUGGAACUGCCUUUGAUACUGGGGAUCUCGAGUCCGGAAGAGGUGAGUGGAACUGCGAGUGUAGAGGUGAAAUUCGUAGAUAUUGGGAAGAACACCGGUGGCGAAGGCGGCUCACUGGCUCGUAACUGACGCUCAUGCACGACAGCGUGGGGAUCAAACAGG
rnacentral:rRNA from 1 species